CGUCAAAGCAGAGUACCCGCCCGCCCAGCUGCGGUUGGGUCAUUAUAAUUCAAUACAUUUUGAAAUAAAGCACAACACGCUGACCUUGGUGAGUUUAGGCCAUAAGUCAGCCCCUCAAGAAAAGUUGGGUAGUCUCCUGCUGUGCGGACUUGCAGUAAGUCAGUCGAACUAUACGACUGCACACAAGCACUGUGCUGUGCAUUCUAUCACUUCAGAUCAGAGCUGCUCAUGAUCUAGGUCUAGGAGGAAAGCUGAGGCAAACUCCCUAGAAAAAAAUAAAUAGUCCUACAUUUUUCAUGAUUCAUGGCAUUUCAAAAAUGUCAACCUUUGUAACCUCAAAUUGCUUAGGCAACAUGAGACGGUGAGAGGGGGAGUUUGAGAAACCCUGCAAGAGACUUCCGCUUAACUACCUAGUGCCGAAACAUUACAAAGAAAGUUUCUGGAUAUUUUCAAUUGACCACUAGGACAAGCUCCUUUUACACAAAUGGCUCACCUAACAAUGCUCCCCCACCCUUUUGCUAUUUGAAAAUAAUUCUUAAAAGCAGAUUUUAAAAAAAAAAAAAAAAAAAAAAGUAGCACUAAAAUUAGUCUAAUCCAUCACAAUCCUCAACAUGGAGGUCAUUUAGAAAGUAGAUUUGCCAAGCCUUAAUUUAGCACCAUUCUUUCAUUAUAAAGAGUGACUCAAUGUGGUUUAGCUGUGCGAAAGUGCUCAAAAUCAGUCUCAUGCGAACACUGAAGUGGGGGGGUCAUCUGAAGACCUCAGCAAAACUUGACAACGUGUUAAAAACAUUAUUACGUUGUGGUCACACUCACCUGUACCACACUCAACUGAACAGUGCCCUCCACUAAUAUUGGCAGCCUUAGUAAAAAUGAGCAAAACAGGCUGUGGAAAAAAAAAAAAAAAGUCUGCCAUUUAUCCUCUUGGUCUUUCAUUCACAAUAUUCAAAAAAAUCAAACCUUUAAUUGAAGUAAAAUUAUUAUUUUUUAAUUCUGAAAUAAAUGAAAAAUAUUUAUCUGAAACAUGUGCCACAAUUAUUGGCACCCCUAGAAAUUAUUCUGAAAAUCUAACUGAAGUAUAUUCAUAUUUUACAUUUAAGUUCACCUGAGUAAUUAGGAACACUUAAGUGG
ensembl:lncRNA